rnacentral:sRNA from 1 species
CUCCAACCCCUCAGCCAAGCACUGUAGUUUCUGGUAGAUGGUGGCCACAGAGAACCAAAGGUCAAGCUCCCACCCACUGGUGACCCCUGGUACGGGGUCGGCGCAGGCAAGCAGAGUGGCAGCGUUCCCAAGUAAACCCUGCUCCUGUCCCCUUGCCCUCAGAGAUCCUGCCUGCCUCUAGCCUGAAUUGAUACCCUCCUCCCUUCCUCCACAAUUAAUGAAACUAAGCAGAAGCAGCAGCUGCCACGUAGGGUCAGCCAGAAAAUUACGUCACUGGAGGGCAGGCCAAACCGAGCCAGGGUGGGCUGGGACCCGGCAUGACUCACCUGUUCCUCUUCCUCCCCGGGGCGGCCUGGCAGCUGACAACGUGCUCCUGUCCAGCGAUGGGAGCCAUGCGGCCCUCUGUGACUUUGGCCAUGCUGUGUGUCUUCAACCUGAUGGCCUGGGGAAGUCCUUGCUCACAGGGGACUACAUCCCUGGCACAGAGACCCACAUGGCUCCGGAGGUGGUGCUGGGCAGGCGCUGCGACGCCAAGGUGGACGUCUGGAGCAGCUGCUGCAUGAUGCUGCACAUGCUCAAUGGCUGCCACCCCUGGACUCAGUUCUUCCGAGGGCCGCUCUGCCUCAAGAUUGCCAACGAGCCUCCGCCUGUGAGGGAGAUCCCACCCUCCUGCGCCCCUCUCACAGCCCAGGCCAUCCAAGACGGGCUGAGGAAAGAGCCCGUCCACCGCGCGUCUGCAGCAGAGCUGGGAGGGAAGGUGAACCGGGCCCUACAGCAAGUGGGCGGUCUGAAGAGCCCUUGGAGGGGAGAAUAUAAAGAACCAAGACAUCCACCGCCAAAUCAAGCCAAUUAUCACCAGACCCUCCAUGCCCAGCCGAGGAAGCUUUCGCCAAGGGCCCCAGGGCCCCAGCCAACUGAGGAGACAACAGGCAGAGCCCCUAAGCUCCAGCCUCCUCUCCCACCAGAGCCCCCAGAGCCAAACAAGUCUCCUCCCUUGACUUUGAGCAAGGAGGAGUCUGGGAUGUGGGAACCCUUACCUCUGUCCUCCCUGGAGCCAGCCCCUGCCAGAAACCCCAGCUCACCAGAGCGGAAAGCAACCUUCCCGGAGCAGGAACUGCAGCAGCUGGAAAUAGAAUUAUUCCUGAACAGCCUGUCCCAGCCAUUUUCUCUGGAGGAGCAGGAGCAAAUUCUCUCGUGCCUCAGCAUCGACAGCCUCUCCCUGUCAGAUGACAGUGAGAAGAACCCAUCAAAGGCCUCUCAAAGCUCGCGGGACACCCUGAGCUCAGGCGUACACUCCUGGAGCAGCCAGGCCGAGGCUCGAAGCUCCAGCUGGAACAUGGUGCUGGCCCGGGGGCGGCACACCGACACCCCAAGCUAUUUCAAUGGUGUGAAAGUCCAAAUACAGUCUCUUAAUGGUGAACACCUGCACAUCCGAGAGUUCCACCGGGUCAAAGUGGGAGACAUCGCCACUGGCAUCAGCAGCCAGAUCCCAGCUGCAGCCUUCAGCUUGGUGACCAAAGACGGGCAGCCUGUUCGCUACGACAUGGAGGUGCCAGACUCGGGCAUCGACCUACAGUGCACGCUGGCCCCUGAUGGCAGCUUCGCCUGGAGCUGGAGGGUCAAGCAUGGCCAGCUGGAGAACAGGCCCUAACCCCGCCCUCCACCGCCGGCUCCACACUGCCGGAAGCAGCCUUCCUGCUCGGUGCACAAUGCCGCCCUGAAACACAGGCUCAGCCGCUCCCAGGGAUCUGCCAGCCCCCGGCUCAGCAGUGGGACCAGGGCCUAGCAGCAGCAAGGUGGGGGCAAGCAGAACGCCUCCCAGGAUUUCCCACCUGAGUCCUGCCCCACCCUGCUGAGAAAACACUCCGCCACAUGAAGAGACAGAGGAGGACGGCAGGAGUUACCUCAGGAAACAAACAGGAUCUUCUCUGCCCUGCUCCAGUCGAGUUGGCCUGACCGCUUGGAUCAGUGACCAUUUGCUGGCAGACAGGGAAGAACAGCUUCCAGCCUGGGUCAGAAGGGGUGGGUGAGCCCCUCGGCCCCUUACCCUCCAGGCUGGUGUGAGAGUGUCAAGUGUGUAAGGGCCCACACUCAGGUUCAGUGUGGAACCAGGUCAGCAGGUAUGCCCGCCCGUAGGUUAAGGGGGCCCUCUGACCCCCUUGCCUGGCCUCACCUGGCCAGCUCACCCCUUUUGGGUGUAGGGGAAAGGAAUGCCUGACCCUGGGAAGGCUCCCUGGUAGAAUACACCACACUUUUCAGGUUGUUGCAACACAGGUCCUGAGUUGACCUCUGGUUCAGCCAAGGACCAAAGAAGGUGUGUAAGUGAAGUGGUUCUCAGUCCCCAGACACGUGCCCCUUUGCUGCUGGCUACCACUCUUCCCCAGAGCAGCAGGCCCCGAGCCCCUUCAGGCCCAGCACUGCCCCAGACUCGCUGACACUCAGUUCCCUCAUCUGUAAAGGUGAAGGGUGAUGCAGGAUGUGCCUGACAGGAACAGUCUGUGGAUGGACAUGAUCAGUGCUAAGGAAAGCAGCAGACAGAGACGCUCCGGCGCCCCAGCCCCACUAUCAGUGUCCAGCGUGCCGGUCCCCCAGAGCACAGCUCAGCAUCACACUGACAUUCACCCUGCCUUGCCCCUGGCCAGAGGGUACUGCCGACGGCACUUUGCACUCUGAUGACCUCAAAGCACUUUCAUGGCUGCCCUCUGGCAGGGCAGGGCAGUGACUCUGUAGGAGCAUAGCAAGCCAGGAGAUGGGGUGAAAGGACAGUCUUGAGCUGUCCACAUGCAUGUGACUCCUCAGACCUCUUCCAGAUUUCGCUAAGAACAGCACCCCCUUCCCCAUUGCCCCAGCUUAGCCUCUUCUCCCAGGGGAGCUACUCAGGACUCACGUAGCAUUAAAUCAGCUGUGAAUCGUCAGAGGGUGUCUGCUAGCCUCACCCUCCUGGGGCGGGGGACGCCAAGACUCCUUGGGAGAAGCUCAUUCCCACGUCUUGCCAAGACAGCCUUUGUCCAGCUGUCCACAUCGAGCCAGACUGCUCCCGGGGAGAGAGCCCCGGCCCCCAGCACAUAAAGAACUGCAGCCUUGGUACUACAGAGUCUGGGUUGUAGAGAACUCUUUGUAAGCAAUAAAGUUUGGGGUGAUGAC